UUGCUUCAGGAGCACAUAUACUAAAAUUGGAAUGAUACAGAGACAAUCAGCAUGACCCCGGUGAAAGGAUGAAAUGCAAAUAUAUGAAGAGAUAUAUAUGAGG